rnacentral:antisense_RNA from 1 species
UCCAAUGGCGGGCCGUGCGAGGCCAGCCUCGGCUGGGCCGGGUCCUUGUGUCCGGUUUCCACCCUCGUACCGGUCCGCCUCCCAC